UCAGAUCAAAACAUUCAUUACCCUCGCCUUUCUCCUCCUCGUACCUUUCCCAUGCCUCUCUAGAAAAAUAACUUCCUCUGUUACGAUCCAAUUUGAUUGUGAUUAUCCAUCCGAUCCGUUAUAGAUUUCUCUUGCAAAACUUGCAGAUCCGCAUCCUGAUCUCCUCCCAUUAUUCCCCUCCAUCAAUCUGUACCUAUUGGUGUAUUGCACUCUUCUACAAUCAAAUAACCUGAGCAGUCCGUUCCGAACAACAGGAUGAGAAGGUAAGGUUUCACUUCAUACUUCUUAACUGGCCAACGACAGAUUUGGAUUUGUAGGUAUCAACUAAUCCCCUAAGGUUAGGCUUCGAAUUUUUAUUGCAUUUUCACUGGUUAAGAAAUUGGACAAGGUCGCCUUGUUGCGUGCAGCCAUCGUUGCGGGAUCGAUCUGGAAGCUUCGCCGCCCUGUAGCACCACGACCUCAGCAUCUCCACUCCGCCCCCAAUCUGCGGCAUCUUCGCCCUCGUCACUGCCCCACACCCAAGGUCCCUCGCCGCCGGCUGGAUCUGCGCCUCGGAGGUGGAAUAUCAGACGCUGCUGCCGCCAUCAACAAGAUGCUGCGGCCCCAUGUUCUUCUCCACCACGAGCCCAUCCCCCGACCACCAUCAGGAGCUGCAGAACGUCACCAAUCUCAAUAACCUAGACAACAAGCUCCACAUACCCGGGACAUGGACACGGACAUCUGCUUGUGUGCACUGCAGUCAAGAACCAGGGUGCAGAACUGCAGAUGCGUUGUUAUAAGCUAAGGGUGCAUGAUUGAAAAGAAUUUGAAAUCCACGAACCAGGAUGGAGACGACGCCUUGUGGAGAGAUUUUGAUCAGGGUUGAUCAGGGUAAGUAUUCUAGAAGGUGAUGCAUGCCACGUAGUCAAGCAUAUUGGUUUCUUCUGGAUCAUAUAUUUGAAUCUUUUUUUCUAUGGUAAGUUGAAUUUUUUUUGCUCUUAACGCUAGCAGAAUUGUUCCAAAGAAUAUCUGUAUAUGAGUAAUACAAUUAUUAAGGCAGCACCUACAUCUUUUUGGUAUGAGUUAGAGAUUAGCUGAAUGCGAGUUGCCCUUUCUUUGAGUUAAGGAUAAAGAUUGCUUCACUCAGUACAGAUCUUAUUUUUGAUAUACAACUAUUUUCCUCCUGUAUCGGAGUCAACUAACAACAAUGGCAAUAGAGAUUUGAUGCCUGCAGUUUGAGUUCAUGAAAAAUCCACACUCUGGUGAGAAAGACAGUGGCUACUACUAGGAUGGAUCGAAGGUACCUGCCCUGUGGGACAAUUUGAGCCAACAAGAAUCAGACGGACCAGCAUUGUAAGAAUUUGUGCUAAAAAAGGAAUCAGAAUGUAGAAGGUUGACAAGACAAUUGUUCAUGGUGAGGCCUUUGAUGGGUGAUCUUCAAGCACCGCACUGCUCGAAUGCUUUCACAUGACAAUUAGUGAAGCAUUUUUUUCUCUCAUAGGUUUAGUCUUAGUUGCUUUUAGCUUAUUUCUUGUAUCAUACUGGUUCAUUUUUUUCUUGGUUGCAAAUAAGCAUCUUGUGUUGAAUUUUGUAUAAAUAAUAAAAGUUUGCUAUCACAAUCAAUUUGCUUCCCGCUA